GCAGCUGGACUAGAUUUCUAUUCUUCCAUUGUAUGUGCUUUUAUUUUGAAAAUGACAAUUCCAGGCUGCUGCUAGGAACGAGCAAAGUAGCCUGCAGGGAAUGUAUUUGUGUGUCCGGGUCUUGUACCGCAAGAAACGCAUUAUAUUCUGGAUAUAAGGACUUUUACUGGUGUUUCGCUCCAAUCUGUGAGAAAAAAGUUCCUGCACUAAAGAAGACUCAACAGAGGUCUGUUGGCCAUCCCUGGUGUCGUUCCAGUACCGUUUAACUAGUAGCCUAUUUAGGCUACACGGUUGGUGGCACAGAGAAGAUACACUAAAGACCCGGCUGAAUAAGGAGUUCUCCCAGCAUAAAAUAAAUGUUUAUCAUCAAAGUCCUCCCAGUUACCCUGCAAAAACAGCUAUUGAUUUCUUCAUCAGUGCUCAUCAGUAACAGCCUUGUCAUAAGUGGCCAGAUCAUUAGUCUUUUAUGGCUUGAAGUCUUGAUUGGUCAUCUCAAAAAUGAAUAUCUUUAUUAGAGGUCAUCAAUGUCAUCACUUCUCCCUUAGCUGAAAAUCACACAAUCUGACAAAAGCAUAACAAGUGAAAGAAUACCAUUUCAAACAAGAGGAUGAAAGGCUACGUCUUUGAGUAUGGAGUCAAUGACCUUUUCCAGAGGUGAAAGAU